rnacentral:rRNA from 1 species
UACGAGGGGGGCAAGUGUUGUUCGGAAUCACUGGGCGUAAAGGGAGCGUAGGCGGACGUUUAAGUUGGAUGUUUAAAACCGGGGCCCAACCCCGGGGCGGCAUCCAAAACUGGGCGUCUUGAAUGGGACAGAGGCUGGUGGAAUUGGGGGUGUAGCGGUGGAAUGCGUAGAGAUCCCCAAGAACACCGAUUGCGAAGGCAGCCAGCUGGGUCCACAUUGACGCUGAGGCUCGAAAGCAUGGGGAGCAAACAGG